rnacentral:lncRNA from 1 species
CCCGGCGGUGCUGCCCUCCUAGGCCCCGGGAAGGCCGGCCGGCAGGGGCGGGGGCAGGAGUCGCCGACUCUGGGGGUGCUCCGAGCUCGUGCUGCGGUCCCACUGUGCGCCCUGUCGCCGCCACCGCGGAAAACGUCUUGCACGUGCGAGGGGCAUUUCAGGAGUUUCCUGUCUGUCAGGCUGGAGUGCAAUGGCACAAUCAUGGCUCACUGCGCCCUCCACCUCCCAGGCUCAAGCCAUCCUCCUAUCUCAGCCUCCUGAGUAGUUGAGACAACAGGCAUGUGCCACCAUGUCUGGCUAAUAUUUUAAUAAAAUUUUUUGUAGAGACAGGUUCUCCAUA